rnacentral:tRNA from 1 species
GGGGUUGCAGCUCAGUGGUAGAGCACUUGCCUAGCAUGUGUAAGAUUCUGAGUUCAAUUCUCAGCACCA